CUCUCUAUAUACUGGUAACAUGGUAAUAAAAAAAACCUCAUCAACCAUACCAGGCUUAUAUUUUUGUAUGCCCUGCAUGUAUUUAGUCUACAAAAGACUUAUUCUUGAAACAAAAAAGUUAAAAUGCCAAACAAACAACAUAGUUGAAAGGGCAUUGAGGACCCAAAAUUCCUAAGGUUUUACAGAACAAAGCUUAGACAAUCUAUGGCACAUCUAGAAACCUUAUAAAUAAAACAAAAUUAUCAUGGUUUGCUUAACAUAGGUGGAAUCUUAUUUUCGUAAGGAAAUAGUUUUACUAAAUUGUCAGACUUUACAAACUUUCUCCAAUAAUAAACAUUGUAUUAGUGUAACUUUCCGCCCCUUUAUCAUAUUGAAAAAGAAUACACAAAAAAUGCAUUGUAUGAAAGGUUUAUUAGAAACAUUUUAAUAUAUUAAAAACAAGACAAAAAAUUAAACAAUACAAAAAAUAAAUUUCAUAAUAAUCACAGUCCAACCAUAAUCAUUUUUUUUAUGUAAUGCUCUUUUUAUACCUAUCUAAAUUUAUGUUUUAUAAAACUUCCUCUUAUAGACAAUUCAUUUUAACAUAGAAAACAUCAAAUGGGAAGGACAAAGUGUCAUACUUAUAUUUCCCCUAUAACUUAGACUUCCUUGAUAAAUAAAAGUAAAAACUAGUUCAAGAGAUCAAGUUAUAGUCCAAAAAUCAAGUUUAUGUUUGCAAAAUGACAACAAAAUUAUGCCAUCAUUCAUAUAUUAUACUAAAAGUGAUGUAAAGUCUGACUUCAUUCAUAAUUUUGUUUUUAAAAUGACUUGUUAAAUAUUACUUACAAAAGAUACUGUUAAGAAACUGUUAAGAAAUGCAAUAUAAGAUAAAAUGUUAAAUAAAAGUAUGAAUGUUUAUUUUACAAACAUAUAUAUUAGUUUGUAACUUUUAUUUAAAGAAUCUUAACCAAUGUUAUUCCAAAGAUUCCAUUUACUGUAAACCAACUUAAUUUCGCGGAUACUUUAUGUCGCAUUUGGCCCUUUCUUGCCCACUGCGUAACGAUUUUAUUUUUGCAAUUAUAAAAUUUACUUAAUGUAUUAAGAUAAGCAAAGAUACAAGUUUUACAUGUUCACCACGAUUUAUAUUUGCGUUAUGUUUCUACUCGUGAAAGUCGCAAAAAUAAUUAGCUAACGAAAAUAAUAGGAUUACAGUAAUUAAGGCUUUUUGAUAUCUCUUGUCUUUGAAAUGUAAAAUCUAACAAGGCAUCAUCGAUUCAAAUAAAAUCAAUAAUAUUUUCUAUCCACUUAAAAAUCUUUUAGAUAAUAUAAUUUCAAACCAUAAACAGAAUAAUAGAAUGUAAAUUAUGUAAUCAUAAUAAAUAAGUAAAACAAGGCAAUUAAGGCAUGUCUAAAAAAAAAUAACAAGAAGUACAUUAGGCUUGAUGUAAACAGUGAAUGUGAUUUCUAGUCCAUAAAUUCAUAAGUAUAUUCAAUUGUCAAAUACCUAAACAUAUAUUUAAAGUUUUAUUUCAGCUUUAAUUCAAAACAAAAUCCAGGGGCUCUUUUUUUAAAACAAACAAAUCUUACAUCAAUUGUAAUUUGUACCAAAAUUUUCUCGUUAGUUUUGUAAAUUAAUCGACAGCUCUUACAAUCAAAUAUUUUGAUACAUGUUCAAACUUCAAAUGUUGAAAAAAAAAAUCUACUCUGACCAUACUUUACCAAGGGUGAGUUUAAAAAGAAGCAAAUUAAUUUAUUUUAUAUUUAUAGAUAUUCAAUAUCUAAAGAUCAGCACCUCUGACUGCCAAUUAGGUAACAUACAAAUAAAUAUUAUCACAAAAAAAAAAAACCCAACACAUACUACAAAAAAAACAAUGUGUAAAUUUAACAAUUGUCACAAAAAAACAACUUCAUCUAGUAUAACAACUUCAUCUAGUAUAACAACUAUGGCAUCUUAUAUUCAUAUAUGCCAUUAACAAUCACAUCACAUUAUUAAAAAAUAAUAUUUAAAAAAGCACUAAAAUUCCAUUGCAGUACUUUUCUAUUUCAAAUCAUGAUAACUAAAAGUUCAUAGUUCAGAUUGCUUUUUUAAUAUUCUCAAUAUAUUUUACUAAUUUCAUACUUGAUUAAUUCUGCAGUUAUUGAAAAACAAGUAAAGAUACUGACUUAAAUUUGAAUCCAGAAAAAUGUUGGAAAAUGCUUAUCUUCAUAUCUGCAAUAUUAUAACUUAAUUCAUUAACAAUUUUUAUAAUCCUUUAUUGGAAUAAAAUCAUUAUAAAAUUUGCUCACCUUGCUAUGCGUGCCACUAUUUACUGCUGACAUAUUUCAACCAUUUUUUUUUAACAGUUUAUGAUUCUUAAGAUAAACAUAAAUAAACAUGAUUGCUGCACCUUAUGUAUAGUCCUCAAAAUAUGUUUACAAAACAACAAAUCUAUAACAACUGAUAAAGCACAUAGAACAACUUUACAUAUUGUUAUAAUGUCCCUCACCUCAUAUUAUACAGCAGAGUUAUAUACUCAUGAUUUUACCCAAAACCUAAAAGUCACUCAAAAAAUAAAUUAACACCAAUACUUCACCUACAUUAUUUGAAAAAUUGCAGUUUACAUUAGUUGCUUUUUUUACAGAGAAGAAAUAUUUGUGAAAAUGAAGAGAAUGGGUAUAGACAGAAGCUCAUCUCAAGGAUCCUUGUUACAGCCUCCUGCUAUUGAUAAUUUUUUUCAUGUUGUCCAAAGUCACAAACACAUCUUUUAUUUCAUUUGCAGCAGGUCAUCUUUCCUAAUUAUUCUUUAAUAUUCAAAAUAGAUUUUUUUUUCUGUCUAUGAAGAAAUAACAUAAAAAAAAAAAAAAUAACCCACUACGCUGGUUAUUUAGUGUGCACCACAUUUUUAAUGUUAUUUCUUCAUAGACAAGAAAAA
rnacentral:lncRNA from 1 species